GCGGCGGACGGGUGAGUAACACGUGGAUAACCUACCUAUAAGACUGGGAUAACUUCGGGAAACCGGAGCUAAUACCGGAUAACAUAUUGAACCGCAUGGUUCAAUAGUGAAAGGCGGCUUUGCUGUCACUUAUAGAUGGAUCCGCGCCGUAUUAGCUAGUUGGUAAGGUGACGGCUUACCAAGGCAACGAUACGUAGCCGACCUGAGAGGGUGAUCGGCCACACUGGAACUGAGACACGGUCCAGACUCCUACGGGAGGCAGCAGUAGGGAAUCUUCCGCAAUGGGCGAAAGCCUGACGGAGCAACGCCGCGUGAGUGAUGAAGGUCUUCGGAUCGUAAAACUCUGUUAUCAGGGAAGAACAAAUGUGUAAGUAACUGUGCACAUCUUGACGGUACCUGAUCAGAAAGCCACGGCUAACUACGUGCCAGCAGCCGCGGUAAUACGUAGGUGGCAAGCGUUAUCCGGAAUUAUUGGGCGUAAAGCGCGCGUAGGCGGUUUUUUAAGUCUGAUGUGAAAGCCCACGGCUCAACCGUGGAGGGUCAUUGGAAACUGGAAAACUUGAGUGCAGAAGAGGAAAGUGGAAUUCCAUGUGUAGCGGUGAAAUGCGCAGAGAUAUGGAGGAACACCAGUGGCGAAGGCGACUUUCUGGUCUGUAACUGACGCUGAUGUGCGAAAGCGUGGGGAUCAAACAGGAUUAGAUACCCUGGUAGUCCACGCCGUAAACGAUGAGUGCUAAGUGUUAGGGGGU
rnacentral:rRNA from 1 species